rnacentral:rRNA from 1 species
UACCAGCACCCCGAGUGGUCGGGACGAUUAUUGGGCCUAAAGCAUCCGUAGCCGGUUCUGCAAGUCCUCCGUUAAAUCCAGCUGCUCAACAGAUGGGCCGCGGAGGAUACUACAGAGCUAGGAGGCAGGAGAGGCAAGCGGUACUCAGUGGGUAGGGGUAAAAUCCGUUGAUCCAUUGAAGACCACCAGUGGCGAAGGCGGCUUGCCAGAAUGCGCUCGACGGUGAGGGAUGAAAGUUGGGGGAGCAAACCGG